CCUACGGGUGGCUGCAGUGGGGAAUAUUGCACAAUGGGCGCAAGCCUGAUGCAGCCAUGCCGCGUGUGUGAAGAAGGCCUUCGGGUUGUAAAGCACUUUCAGCGGGGAGGAAGGCGGUGAGGUUAAUAACCUCAUCGAUUGACGUUACCCGCAGAAGAAGCACCGGCUAACUCCGUGCCAGCAGCCGCGGUAAUACGGAGGGUGCAAGCGUUAAUCGGAAUUACUGGGCGUAAAGCGCACGCAGGCGGUCGGUCAGGUCGGAUGUGAAAUCCCCGGGCUCAACCUGGGAACUGCAUUCGAAACUGGCAGGCUAGCGUCUUGUAGAGGGGGGUAGAAUUCCAGGUGUAGCGGUGAAAUGCGUAGAGAUCUGGAGGAAUACCGGUGGCGAAGGCGGCCCCCUGGACAAAGACUGACGCUCAGGUGCGAAAGCGUGGGGAGCAAACAGGAUUAGAUACCCCUGUAGUC
rnacentral:rRNA from 1 species